GUUCGAUCUUGUUAUGGCGAGGCUCCUGAGCAAAAACAAGUUACCGCCCUGAUGGUGUCGAGAGAGACCACACAGGGAAAUACAGGCAUCCAUCGAAUCAAGGUGUUGCCAAGGUAACUUCCGGCGUGUUUUCGCGGAUACGUUGCUCAGUGCUAAAACCGGGACGUAGGGAUCUUCU
rnacentral:sRNA from 2 species